AUGGCCGCCAAAUCAAAGGUCCAAGUCCCAGCGUUGCCGUCUUAUUUUCAUGACAGCGUGGUGUCUCAAUGCGUGAUGGAUUCACUCACACGGAGGAAGCUUUUCUCCGCUACUCCGGCGACAAGCGCACAAGCUUUUGGGUCCAUGGCGCCACCACUAAACAAGCAACUGGAUUCUAUAAAGGAUUUCAACAGAGUUCAUUGUGGGAACCUGAACCCUACUACCAUGUCUCCACUUUCAUGCAGUGGGCUUGACUGGAUCAUAAAGUUUUCUCGCCGAAGAUUCCCUACGCCACCAGCUACUACCCUGAUCCUCUCCCACCAUGGCACAACAAGGCACCUCUUCCUCUCCAGUGAAAGUAACUGA
rnacentral:rRNA from 1 species